AGCGAACGCUGGCGGCAGGCCUAACACAUGCAAGUCGAACGAAGUCUUCGGACUUAGUGGCGGACGGGUGAGUAACACGUGGGAACGUGCCUUUAGGUUCGGAAUAACUCAGGGAAACUUGUGCUAAUACCGAAUGUGCCCUUCGGGGGAAAGAUUUAUCGCCUUUAGAUCGGCCCGCGUCUGAUUAGCUAGUUGGUGAAGUAAAGGCUCACCAAGGCUACGAUCAGUAGCUGGUCUGAGAGGAUGACCAGCCACAUUGGGACUGGGACACGGCCCAAACUCCUACGGGAGGCAGCAGUGGGGAAUCUUGCGCAAUGGGCGAAAGCCUGACGCAGCCAUGCCGCGUGGAUGAUGAAGGUCUUAGGAUUGUAAAAUCCUUUCACCGGUGAAGAUAAUGACUGUAGCCGGAGAAGAAGCCCCGGCUAACUUCGUGCCAGCAGCCGCCGUAAUAC
rnacentral:rRNA from 1 species